rfam:Oscillatoria nigro-viridis PCC 7112, complete genome.
GGGUCGGCCCUCCUAUUGGCGUGGGUAGCUGUCUGUAAAACAGUAGCUUAAAGCGUUGCUGGUUCAAUUCCAGCCCGACCCA